AUCCCUUCUUGCAACUGCUGAGCAAAAAUAAAUACGGCAUCAGAUAUGACAUAAAAUUUGAUAUAAUAUUAAAAUAAAUAGGUAAAUUUUUGUUUUAAAGUCAAAAUGUCUAGGACGUCCAUCCCGGCGAGCUCCUGAUGCUUCGCCCCACAACUCCCUCCUAGGUCUCCCCAGGUUCUAACUGCUGUGUCAUAAUCGACUUCUCAAGCUAGGAAACGUCUACUCAAAGAUUCUUCUUAGGUUUACCUAGCCUUGCCUGCAGCGCUGUUCCCAACCUCAAUGUCCUGAUGGCGAGAGUCCUUUCUAUCUUCUUCAGUGAAAUUAAGAAUGACAAAUUAAACGUAAGACGCCCACAACUUUAAAUAGAAUGGGAGGAGCAAAUCCAACUUUCAUCCCUACAUCUUUUCCUACAAGACUAUUGUCCUCUAAAUGUUAUUUUGGAAGAGAAGGAAUUUUAAGAAAUGCUCUUCAGUGA
rnacentral:lncRNA from 1 species